rnacentral:rRNA from 1 species
GACGAACGCUGGCGGCGUGCUUAACACAUGCAAGUCGAACGGAAAGGCCCUGCUUUUGUGGGGUGCUCGAGUGGCGAACGGGUGAGUAACACGUGAGUAACCUGCCCUUGACUUUGGGAUAACUUCAGGAAACUGGGGCUAAUACCGGAUAGGAGCUCCUGCUGCAUGGUGGGGGUUGGAAAGUUUCGGCGGUUGGGGAUGGACUCGCGGCUUAUCAGCUUGUUGGUGGGGUAGUGGCUUACCAAGGCUUUGACGGGUAGCCGGCCUGAGCGGGUGACCGGCCACAUUGGGACUGAGAUACGGCCCAGACUCCUACGGGAGGCAGCAGUGGGGACUAUUGCACAAUGGGCGGAAGCCUGAUGCAGCAACGCCGCGUGCGGGAUGACGGCCUUCGGGUUGUAAACCGCUUUCGCCUGUGACGAAGCGUGAGUGACGGUAAUGGGUAAAGAAGCACCGGCUAACUACGUG